rnacentral:rRNA from 1 species
CCUACGGGAGGCAGCAGUGAGGAAUAUUGGUCAAUGGACGAGAGUCUGAACCAGCCAAGUAGCGUGAAGGAUGACUGCCCUAUGGGUUGUAAACUUCUUUUAUAUGGGAAUAAUAAAGGGUAUGCAUACCCUCAUGUAUGUACCUUAUGAAUAAGGAUCGGCUAACUCCGUGCCAGCAGCCGCGGUAAUACGGAGGAUCCGAGCGUUAUCCGGAUUUAUUGGGUUUAAAGGGGGCGUAGGUGGGUUGUUAAGUCAGUUGUUAAAGUUUGCGGCUUAACCGUAAAAUUGCAAUUAAAACUGGCAGUCUUGAGUACAGACGAGGUAGGCGGAAUACGUGGUGUAGCGGUGAAAUGCUUAGAUAUAACGUAGAACUCCGAUAGCGAAGGCAGCUCACUGGACUGCAACUGACGCUGAUGCUCGAGAGUGUGGGUAGCAAACAGGAUUAGAUACCCGAGUAGUC